CACCUUCAUCGCCGGCGAUUGGCCGGGGGAGGCUGCGGCCGCCAAUGGGCGCCUCGCUCGGGGCGCGGCUCUUCAAACGUUUCCUCCGCGGCGGCUGUCAGCCGGGUCCUUCCAGGGCCUGGCAAGCCGUUCCUGGACGGCUGCCCUGCUCCCCCGCUUUUGCUUUUCCUCCCUCUAGAGUGCUGGUCGGAAGGAGCUGCCCGAGAGGAUGGAGGGCACAGGGUCAGGAACGAGGUCAGAGACACCCUUGGGUUGGGACUACACGGAAGGGAUUAGGAGCCCAGAUCCGGGUCAAGGAGGUUUGGUCGCAGAAGGGACCCAGUAGCUGACUCACAACGCUUGAAAAUGUGAAAUUCUGAUCAGGCCGAGCAUGCUGUACGGAAGAAGCGGCGUUGCUUUUGUAACCACUGAACUGUGGAUUUGUCUCCCCUUUAUGUGUGAGCUCCUCGGGGACAGACAGCUGUCUUAUCGGCCCCGAGCAAGGAAUCAAUAAGUGCCUGUAGAACGAAUAAAUGACUAGGUGAGGUCCAGUUGAAAUUAUUGUUACAUAGGUCCCUGGAAAGCCAGUACCACUGGUCUUUUUUAAAUCCACUCUAAGUACUGGAUUUAAUAGACCAAUACUUCCCUUGUGCCUAUCGCGAUAUGUGCCAGUACUUAAACCCGUUUUUCCAUCUGUUCCACGCAGACGGGGUAGGUACAGACGGCGCCCUUUCCUACCCCUUGCUUUUGUAAAACUGAAGAAACGGAAUCGGACUCAGAGAGCUUAAUUGGCCAAGGACACAGACACGGCCACCUGCAGAGGCAAACGUGUGAACCCUGGAGCUGGUUGUAACCUGCACAGGGCACUGUCUCCCAAGCGCUCCGCUUUGCGCUGGUGGGAGGAGCACAGUGUGGUUGUAAAGGCUACUUUCUCUGGGAGUGUCCUCUGUCAAAUGGGAAUUCUGGUUUCCAAGAUUACACGGGAUAACGUGCCUGACACUGGGAAUUUGGAGCUGGAGGUGCUCAGAUCCUAGGCCAACGUCUAAGGGAGAGGCCACUUAAAUACCUGGUGCCCACUCUGGGCGACGCCGAGCUUGCUUGAGUCCAAGGGAGGACAGGGAAAGUGCCUCCAUUCUAGGCAGCCCCUGAAUCUGGUAGGAUUCCUAACCCUGUCCCGCCGCCCACCCCAUUCAGGUGGCGGCCAGCAGAGGGCGCCGCCCGAGCAUGGCCGAGGAGCGCCGAGGAUCCUGGUUCGGCUUCGGUUUCUGCGGCUUCGGGCAGGCGCUGGGCUCGGGGCGCGGGCGCCAGGUGCACAGCCCCGAGCCGCUGCAGACCCCGGGCGAGGGCGAGGGCGCGGACGUCUGCCGCGUGAGCGCGAGCUGGAGCUACACCGCCUUCGUGACCCGUGGAGGCCGGCUGGAGCUGGCGGGCUCCGCGGGCUGCGCGGCGGGCGGCUGCAGGGACGCGUGGGCCUCGGAGGCGCUCCUCCUGGUGCUGCGCGCCGGGCCGGGACGCGGGGCCGGGACGGAGCUGCAGGCCUGGGCGCCGGGUUCGGCGCUGAGCGGAGAGCCCCUGUGGGCCCACACCGUGGGGCCGGAGGCCGAGGGGGAAGACGCACCGGGCGGUGAGCCCCAGGCCGGGGCCCUGCCCCUGUUGCCCGGCGGGCGGGCCUACGUGAGUCCGCGGCCGCCCUUCUACAGCCCUCUGGCCCCCGAGCUGCGGGCGCGCCGGCUGGAGCUGGGCGCCGAGCACGCGUUGCUGCUGGACGAGGCGGGCCAGGUGUUCUCCUGGGGCCAGGGCCGGCAUGGACAGCUGGGCCACGGGACUCUGGAGGCCGAGCUGGAGCCGAGGCCGCUGGAGGCGCUGCAGGGCGUACCCAUGGCUGAGGUGGCUGCAGGGGGCUGGCACUCCGUGUGUGUGAGUGAGACUGGCGAUAUUUAUAUCUGGGGCUGGAACGAAUCCGGGCAGCUGGCCCUGCCCAGCAGGAGCCUGGCAGAGGUUGGCAAGACCGCUGCAGGGGAAGCCAGUGGACUGAAGGAAGACGGUUGUGACGUGAGGACAGCCGAGGGUGAGAGUGGAGGCCUGGCCCCCUUCAUAGCCAUCCAGCCCUUCCCUGCUUUACUGGAUCUCCCCCCGGGCACAGAUGCAGUCAAGGCCAGCUGUGGAUCCCGGCACACAGCAGUGGUGACCAGAACGGGGGAGCUCUACACCUGGGGCUGGGGUAAAUACGGACAGCUUGGCCACAAGGACACGAGCAGCGUGGAUCGGCCCCGCCGAGUGGAGUAUUUUGUAGACAAGCGGCUCCAGUCUUUUCUGUUUUCCACAGACCAAAGCAACCAAAAAGUGAUUUGGCCGGGGAGAAAAAAAACAAUAUAUCUUUUUGAAAGGAUGAACCUCUGAAGGUCUUCAUCAUUACGGAAUGGUGACAGUUAUGGUCUCCCAAGAUUAAUCCAAGACCUCAACCACAGGCACACAUCGAAGCCAGGUAAUGAAGUUAAAUGAUAAAUGAGAUCAUUAGGGUCAAUGUGACUGGUAGCUUUGUAAGAGAAAAAUCGGGACAUAGAUACAUACAGAAGGAAGACCAUGGAAAGAUAUAGGGAGGAAGAAAGUCAUCCUCAAGUCAAGGAUGGAGGCCUACGAAGAAACCUACCCUACUGAUACUUUGAUCUCACACUUAUAGCCUCCAGAAUUGUGAAAAAAUAAAUGUGUUGUUUAAGCCAGCCAGUCUGUGGUACUUUGCUACACCGGCCCUAGAAAGCUAUUAAGCCUUGAUAUUCAGUCAGGAGGAAGGCUCAGUAUGUACUUAUCCUGGCCCAAGCUUUAGAAGAGAAGACGGUUCUGGGGCAAGAUGUUUCAAAGCCAAGGAUAUACAAAAAGUAAGGUGUUUUGUAGCCAAGCAACAAAAACUCUCAGUGGC